rnacentral:misc_RNA from 1 species
AGUUUUAUAUUCCCAAGGUUGCUAGAUUACUUUACAUUAAAUAUGGAGUCCUUACCUCCAGGAAUCUUACAGAUCGCAAAUCAUCUUUGUUGAAAUACAAAAGAUGUAAGCAGAUAGAUAUGGAGUCCUUGCCUCUAGGAAUAUGUGAGGGAAUGGAGCACAUAUCAGAGUCGGUGUUUGUGGGACUGUGUGAGAUGGUGGGGACAUCACAACAAGUGGCUCUCAGGAGGGAAGUCAAGGGACAUCAAUGAGAUGGUGGAGAGGCGAGUUACACCUAAUGAUGCGUUCAACAGGAUGAUGAGUGGAAGUCGGAGAGAAGGAUUCAGACUGAAAGGUUCAGAUCUGGACUGGAUGUUCUGGUAUAACAACCACCGAGUGAUCAUGGACAUGUCUCAGUCUGAGAAUUAUAACACAGCCAAUACAUCCUUGAUUCUCUCAGAAAGUUCUGAGAGUCCACCAGGAUUCACUUUACUUCAGUUAUUGACACCCAUAACAACCAAAGAUAUCUACUCAUCAUUAGUCAUACUGAAUGACAGAGUCUAUAUAUCUAGUUCUAUAUUCAGACAGUUAACUUGUUCAUUGGUAUUUCCUAAUUCUACUGUUCAUGGGCCCUGUGGUAGCGGUGUAUUGGGAAGGACAGAAUAUGAUACUGCCAUCUGUUUUGUUUGUGACUUUUGGCCUUCUCAUGCCUCCUCAUUGAUAGAAAGGUGUCACUCAUGGCCUGAUCCUGAAAUUGUUCAUGAUAUUGUAAGGAAUGGGUGUCAUUUUGUACCAAUAGGACAUCCAUUAGGACCAAAUGAAAACCAAGAGUGGAGAGUUUCUUUUUCUCAAGCAGAAUAUAAACUUGUGUCAUCAAUGAAUCAUUGUCAGUUUUUGACAUAUGGAUUGUUAAAAUUAUUUUUAAAAGAAGUUAUAGAUCAACAAUCAGAGGAAACUAAAAAACUGUUGUGUUCCUAUCACAUGAAGACAACAGUUUUCUGGGCGUUUCAACAAAACUCGCUACUCCAGUGGUGUCCACAAAAUCUUCUAGCCGGUUUUUGGAUCUGCUUUAAACUCCUCCUUAAAUGGGUUUAUGAGGGAAUUUGUCCGAACUUUUUCAUCCCACAAAACAACCUAUUUCUAACAAAGGUCCAUGGCUCAGCACAAAACAGAUUGUUCCUACAGUUACAUGAAUUGUACAAGAAAGGUUUGGCCUGUCUGUUACAGAGUUCCUCUAUCAGGUCCUACAUCAUUGAUGUCCUGUACAAUCCUAGACUUUCUGUUCCUACAGAUGAGAGACUUCUUUUGUCUGAAAUUGAUCUUGAUGCAGAACUUUUCAAGGACCCUACUCCAUUUACUUUAUUUCCACAAUGCCUUACCAAAGCCAUACAUACAAUAGAACAGUUAUUAGAAUUACCACAUUAUCAGACUGUUACAUUACAGACACUUACAGUCUCCAUCCUUCAGAGUCUUGCCUUUAUAACAUCAAACAAGUACACUAAAACCGGUGUCAACAAACAGAUAUAUAUUGCACACAAAAUGUCCUUUCACAUGCUGAAAUUAGCAGCGAAGUUUGGAUGUGUUUCUGAUAUGUUGUACAUUGCCAUAUAUUAUUACAAGGCACUCCGAUACAGGGAAGCUUUAUAUGUUAUAGAGUUGACAAAGGUCAAGUUAGCACAACCAUAUCUGAUGUAUAAUACUAGUAGAACUGUAGACAGAGAGAGGUAUACUGAGGCUGUAGGGGGACAGUCCUGGUCUACAAAGAUGAGACAGGCUAUGGUUAUGGAUAUCAUAAUAAACAACGGAAUCUAUUUCAUUAAUGAACUAAUACCAGAACAACAGUCUGCUCUACAGAACAACUAUCUUACAUUAAAUAUCCCCGUGUUUGUAAUGUUACACUUCCUAGAGUUCUUGUGUUACAGACACAUUGAUACAACAUUAUCACAAGCAGCUCUAGAUGAGCUACAGGUCCUAGUCCACCAUGAUCAGGGACUGCGUGUUCCUGAUCUACACAGAGACAUCUCCUGGGAGAUCCUGGGGAUUUGUCAACAGAUCACAGGGAACCUCCAGGCUGCUCUAUACUCAUACCAAAAUUCACUGAUCACUCAGUAUCCUUUACACAGAAUACAAACUGCUACAAAGAGGAGAAUGAGGAUAAUACAAGAUAUUUUCAGUCAAACAAACAUCCAUAAUUGAUUGUAAUUUUGACAACUAUUAUACUCAAGAAAGUUUUAAAUUGUAAUGCAUUUCUUACCUUAAUUCUUUAUGAGGCAUUUCAUCUGAUUUAUUAUCUAAAAUCCACAUUUAGUAGGUGUUCUUUUUAUUUCUUUGAUUAACUUUACAAAAUACUUGUCUGAUUUUUUUCUGCAAAUUGUUACAUACUAUUCCAGUUUUAUGGAAGUUGAAUAAACUUUAUGAAAGAU